CACGAUCAUUUGACACAACGGAAUGGAUAGAUGCACAGAAACAACACUGAAUGUCCAGAGCACUAUACAACUGGAAGGGCUUGGAGGCCAUCUUUUUCCUGCUACAGAUGGGGCAACAGCCCAUGGGAACAACGGAAGGAGUCAAGGUCCAACCCAAAGUCAUAUAUGUCUUUUCCCAUUUCUUCUGGGAGUUACAAGGUGUUGCACCUAAGUCCAUGACCCACUCUGUGAAAGGUGGCAGCUUUCCUUGAAAUCCACAGUGUUUUUUCCCUCACUACUUGCUAUUUACAUAUAUGUAAAUGUAUCCUCAUCUCUUAAAAUUUGGGGAAAGAUUUCAUCAUGCAACCCUCCGGCUUUCAAGCAACUACAAGAACAACAGGGAAAGUAACAGAAUCUUAGAAAGGAUGCAAAGAACAGUUAAUAGAUGGAUGUGGUGCUAUGCCUCUCACCUGAACUGUGCUCCAUCGCUGUCUACAUACUUUGACUGACAGAACUUGAUACAGCAGAGGUCUAGUCACCUUAAGUCCUUCAUCUCUCCAGUGCUGUAUGGUAAGAACUCUCAAAGGAAUUCUCCACAGCCAAUCUUAUC